GGAAAACAGGAGUGGUGCUUUUGGGAAAGCUGAGGGCUGAUCACCAGUGGAGAUUAACGCGCUCCCGCUGACUUACAAAACACCAUCGGCGCUUUAUGGCCAGAGCAGGAUGAAGCUCACUCACAAGGGAGGCGAAGUAACCAGGAAGUUCUUUCUGCAUUAACAGUGCUAGGAAGUGGUGCAGCAACCAGAGAACAUGCAUGAAAUCGACUUUGUUAUGUUUUCUAAGCUCCACACAUGCAAGUGGCACUUGUUGAUGGCAGUGAGUGUGGAAGCCAAGAUGCCCUGCCCAGCUGGAGACCUGGGCCCAGGGGCUUCCAGCCCACCCUGGCAGGAAAAGCUUACGUACGCUUGAGGUUGUCCCGGAGAUUCAUCUCCUCCCGCUUCGUCGGUGCGCACUGGUGGCCACUCAGACACAGCACAUGGAUCAGAAAUAUCCAGGAGGACCUCAUGUUCUUUCUGUUCAAGGAAAAGUUCGGUGCAGUUACGUGUAAACAUUGGCAGGAAGCUCAGAUGUCUAGGUAUACUAAGUAAAUAUAAAUGCUAACUAUAAUACUACAAAUCUUACAAGAUCCCGUUAAUUUUGUCUCUGACGAUGGUUUCUGAUACGUAUAGCAUGCACCUAGGUGCUACUCUUGGUGAAAAUACAUGAGUAAGAAGCUUGACCUCCUUUGUAAUUAUCUAUUUAGAUUAAUUAGAUGAGUUCCACUGAGUUUGCACAGUGGUUAACAGAAUCAGGACAUGUAUAUAUAAAAUCAGAAGCUUAUGCUGUUCAGUCUGUCCCUUUUCCUCUUUGUGAAACACACUAAUUACCGAUCUCAUAUUGUGUCCUUAGUUCAUGUUAUAAAUACAUUCAUGCUAAACAUUAUUGCCAGUUUUAAAGAGGGAAGUUUCUGGAAUGUUGUUCCCUUUCUUGUAAACAUGCAAUUCCUUUCAGUGUCCUUCAGAAUAAGACUCAAUAGAAGAGACUCAACAAAGGUGUGCCAAAAAAUCAGUAAUUAGAUCAAUUUUGUAAACAAACAGAUCAGCAAAUGAAAGAAAUCCCUGAACAAGGGAAAGAAAUGCCAUUUGCUUUAUUUCCCUCCUAAGAGCAGAGCCAAAAGGUUCAUUUUUCAGAAACCAUGCAGCUUCACUUUAUGGUUCUCUUCUGAUUAAGUGAACACAGUAUUCAGAUGCCUUGUA